rnacentral:rRNA from 1 species
CGUACACUCCUACGGGAGGCAGCAGUGGGGAAUAUUGGACAAUGGGCGCAAGCCUGAUCCAGCCAUGCCGCGUGAGUGAUGAAGGCCCUAGGGUUGUAAAGCUCUUUCACCGGUGAAGAUAAUGACGGUAACCGGAGAAGAAGCCCCGGCUAACUUCGUGCCAGCAGCCGCGGUAAUACGAAGGGGGCUAGCGUUGUUCGGAUUUACUGGGCGUAAAGCGCACGUAGGCGGACUAUUAAGUCAGGGGUGAAAUCCCGGGGCUCAACCCCGGAACUGCCUUUGAUACUGGUAGUCUUGAGUUCGAGAGAGGUGAGUGGAAUUCCGAGUGUAGAGGUGAAAUUCGUAAAUAUUCGGAGGAACACCAGUGGCGAAGGCGGCUCACUGGCUCGAUACUGACGCUGAGGUGCGAAAGCGUGGGGAGCAAACAGGAUUAGAUACCCCAGUAGUCCCAUGA